rnacentral:lncRNA from 1 species
UAGUUAGAUAAUUCGAAUUUGGCAAAAAUUUGGUACAGAUAUAAUAAGUAUAAAAUUUAUUUUUAAUUUUUAAAUUUGUUGAAAAAUUCGGUUUGAAAAACGAAUUCGAUAAUUAUUCGGAUACGUGAUUUGUAUGAAAAUUGUACGUUCAUCAAUUAAAAAUUCGGAAUAAAAAAUUCGCCUAUUAAAUUUAAAUUUUUUUUCUAGAUUUAUACUACUAUAUAUCGUAAACAGUUAUAAUUCUUAAAAAUAAAAAGCUACAAAAUAAAGUAGAUUAAUCCAUUAUUAAUUGUAAAAUAUAUAUAUAAAUAUUUUUUUUGGGAGGCGAAUGAAGAGAGAACUCAUAUUUAAAUAUAAAAUAUAAGAUAAUCUAUAUUUAAACAUAAAAAUUAUAAGUUUUUUAUUCAGAUUUUUAAUAAUUCACGAAUUAUUCGGCUGGCCUAAAAAUUCGCGAAUAAUUUCUUUUCUUUGGAAAAAAUUCGUAGACAAACCGUUUAAUUCAGAUUUUCAAUAAUUCGCGAAUAAUUCACAAAUUAACUAACAAAGCUUUGAGCUACCAUAUUAUCAUGUCAGGUGUUAAUCUGUCUCUCGAUUGGAGCUAAAAUGUAACACGUACUGGUAUAUUUGCGACGCCCCACUUCUCAGGGGGUUAUCUAUUUUAGGAUCCUAACAAGUUUAACUCUUUUAAUCUCUUGGUCCUAACCACCACCCAAAAUACUAUAAUCGGGUUAAAAAUUUUUAGCCCUAUUAUAUUCUAUAUAUAAGAUUAUUUGGGGUCUCACACUCUCCCACCUUUUAAGCCCUAACGUUCCCGUCAGGUUCAAACUCACAAGUAUUAGACGAUAUAAAACUCGUCUCGUUAGUCUUAACCGACCUUGUGGGGAAGCCGCACUCUGCCUACAGCAAUCGUCAGCAUGAGAGUCUCGCUCUCUCCGCUGUUUAAUCUGGCUCAAUUGAGAUUCAUUUUACACUUUCGGAUGGUAAUUUUCUUUGAUACCAACUGUGGUGCCCCGCUUCCCAGAGGAUUACUUAUCAUAGGACUACUCUAGUUCUAACACGCUUAAUUUUCUUACUCUCUUGGACCUAUCUGCCUCCCAAAAUGCUCUAGUCAGGUUAAGAGUUUUUAGCCCUAUUAUAUCUUAUAUAUAGGACUAUCUGGUGUCUCACAAUUUUUAUGUUGUACAUCU